GAAAACCGUAGUCGACGAUGCUUAGAAUGGCGGUCAGAAGCUACAACAAAAGAUCGACGGAGGAAUCAAACUGAAAACCCUAGACUGAGAAAUACCGCCGAACCAAACGGAAUUCAUAGACCCAAUGGUCGGCUUUCGACCAUUAGAGAUGGAGAACGCGAACGGUCGCCGACUCAAACAUCGGCUCUCAGGUUACAACAAAACCGACAACAAUGACUGGCAGAAAAGCAAAAUCCUAAAAGAUUGGGGCUAAAUCAUACAGUCCAGUUUCAAAAAGGUACACCUUCAUAGACAUGAGCACACCAGACUCAGUUGAUGGACCAAGCAAUUGCCUGGCGAAGAUUGUUAAUCUAGGUGAUAGAGGGAGCCAUUACUUAACAAAUGAACCUAUGGAAUAAUCUGAACUCUGAAGAAAAGGAGAUUAUAUGGAAGAAAAGAAACGUCUAUCAAAAUAGAAAGAAAGAGUUUACUUCAGAAAUGUCACUAUGGGAAGAUGUUGUGCAUAAGAAUACUUCAUGGGAACAGAAGAAAUGUCACCCAAAGUUUUCAUAAAAUAGAAGGAAGACAAUUACUUCAGAAAAGCUAAAUUGGUUAUAAACUGUUUACCAAAGAAAUACCAAAGAAAUACUCCAUCCGUCCCAUAGUAGAUGUCACACUUGGGAGAUGGCACGGGAUUUUAGGAGAUGUUAUUUUGUGUGUUAAGUGGACAAACUAAAAAGGAAAGUGUGACAUCUACUAUGAGACGUAGGGAGUAAAAUAUAGACCUUGGAUUUGAACAUUGCAUCAUGAAGGCAUAAACAAAGGGACAAAUUGCAUUGGAAACUGAAGAAUGGAUCAGGCGCAUGUGCAUUGGAAGAAUCGAAAGUAUAUAUAUAUAUUGUGAUAGAAUAGGUAUUUUUUUUAGAAAAGUCUAUGACACUAACAGUAGGCUGCAUCCUAAAAAAUAGCAAAAUCUCGGUUCUUACAAACUGGUCAGACAUAAGCUCCACAAUGACAGAAAAUGGUGCAAAAAAUUCAAAUAAUCAGCUGUAAUAUUGCUCAGUUUCCUGCCAAAUAGGGCAAAACUGACAUUUUAAAUUUUUUCACAAAACUCA